rnacentral:rRNA from 1 species
UCAAGAUUCUAAGAGCAAACGGUGGAUGCCUUGGCAUCUGGAGCCGAAGAAGGACGUAUAAAUCUGCGAUAAGCCUCGGGGAGCUGAUAAUAGAGCUUUGAUCCGAGGAUCUCCGAAUGGGGAAACCCCGCCAGGCCCUUUGGGUGACCUGGUGACUCCCGCCUGAAUAUAUAGGGCGGGUAGAGGGAACGUGGGGAAGUGAAACAUCUCAGUACCCACAGGAAGAGAAAGCAAAAGCGAUUCCGUUAGUAGUGGCGAGCGAAACCGGAAGAGGCCAAACCGAUCAUGUGUGAUAUCCGGUAGGAGUUGCAUGGUCGGGGUUGCGGGACUUUCCGUACAGUUCUACCGAGCUGUGAGGGCAAUGAGCGCGAUAUAGACGAAUGGUCUUGAAAGGCCAGUCAUAGAGGGUGCGAACCCCGUAGUCGAAAUGUCGUCGCCUGUCCGGAGAGUAUCCCAAGUAGCACGGGGCCCGUGAAAUCCCGUGUGAAUCUGUCAGGACCACCUGAUAAGCCUAAAUACUCCCAGAUGACCGAUAGCGGACAAGUACCGUGAGGGAAAGGUGAAAAGUACCCCGGGAGGGGAGUGAAAUAGUACCUGAAACCGUUUGCUUACAAACCGUUGGAGCACCCUUGUUGGUGUGACAGCGUGCCUUUUGAAGAAUGAGCCUGCGAGUUAGUGAUAUGUGGCGAGGUUAACCCGUGAGGGGCAGCCGUAGCGAAAGCGAGUCUUAAUAGGGCGUAUGAGUCGCAUGUUCUAGACCCGAAGCGAAGUGAUCUAUCCAUGGCCAGGUUGAAGCGACGGUAAGACGUCGUGGAGGACCGAACCCACUUCAGUUGAAAAUGGAGGGGAUGAGCUGUGGAUAGGGGUGAAAGGCCAAUCAAACUUCGUGAUAGCUGGUUCUCUCCGAAAUGCAUUUAGGUGCAGCGUUGCGUGUUUCUUGCCGGAGGUAGAGCUACUGGAUGGACGAUGGGCCCCAAAAGGUUACUGACUUCAGCCAAACUCCGAAUGCCGGUAAGUGAGAGCGCAGCAGUGAGACGGUGGGGGAUAAGCUUCAUCGUCGAGAGGGAAACAACCCAGACCACCAUCUAAGGUCCCUAAGCGCGUGCUAAGUGGGAAAGGAUGUGGAGUUGCAUAGACAACCAGGAGGUUGGCUUAGAAGCAGCCACCCUUGAAAGAGUGCGUAAUAGCUCACUGGUCAAGUGAUUCCGCGCCGACAAUGUAACGGGGCUCAAGCACGCCACCGAAGUUGUGGCAUUUAUAUUGUAGGCAGGCCUUCGUGGUCCAGCCGUAUGGAUGGGUAGGAGAGCGUCGUGUGGCCAGCGAAGCGGCGGUGUGAACCAGCCGUGGAGGCCACACGAGUGAGAAUGCAGGCAUGAGUAGCGAAAGACGGGUGAGAAACCCGUCCUCCGAAAGACCAAGGGUUCCAGGGCCAGGCUAAUCCGCCCUGGGUAAGUCGGGACCUAAGGCGAGGCCGACAGGCGUAGUCGAUGGACAACGGGUUGAUAUUCCCGUACCGAUGAAGAACCGCCCAAGACAAUCCAGUAAUGCUAAGUGUCUGAAUCCUUGAUUCGAUCCCUUCGGGGUGACGGUCUUGGCCUAGCACACGACCCUACGCUGGGGCGUUUAGCGUAUUAACAGGUGUGACGCAGGAAGGUAGCUGAGCCGGGCGAUGGUUGUCCCGGUCUAAGGAUGUAGGGCAGAAGAUAGGCAAAUCCGUCUUCUAUGUAGCCUGAGACCCGAUGGGUAGUCCUCACGGACGAAAUCAGUGAUCCUAUGCUGCCGAGAAAAGCAUCGACGCGAGGUUCCAAUCGCCCGUACCCCAAACCGACUCAGGUGGUCAGGUAGAGAAUACUAAGGAGAUCGAGAGAAUCGUGGUUAAGGAACUCGGCAAAAUGCCCCCGUAACUUCGGGAGAAGGGGGGCCUGAGGCGUGUAGGGAUUUACUCCUGAAGCGUUUGAAGGCCGCAGAGACCAGUGGGAAGCGACUGUUUACUAAAAACACAGGUCCGUGCUAAGUCGCAAGACGAUGUAUACGGACUGACGCCUGCCCGGUGCUGGAAGGUUAAGAGGAACGGUUAGCACGCAAGUGCGAAGCUGAGAAUUUAAGCCCCAGUAAACGGCGGUGGUAACUAUAACCAUCCUAAGGUAGCGAAAUUCCUUGUCGGGUAAGUUCCGACCUGCACGAAUGGCGUAACGACUUCCCAGCUGUCUCAACCGCGAACUCGGCGAAAUUGCACUACGAGUAAAGAUGCUCGUUACGCGCAGCAGGACGGAAAGACCCCGUGACCUUUACUACAGCUUGGUAUUGGUGUUCGGUGUGGCUUGUGUAGGAUAGGUGGGAGACUGUGAAGCUCGGACGCUAGUCCGGGUGGAGUCAUUGUUGAAAUACCACUCUGGUCACUCUGGAUAUCUAACUUCGAACCGUAAUCCGGUUCAGGGACAGUGCCUGGUGGGUAGUUUAACUGGGGCGGUUGCCUCCUAAAGAGUAACGGAGGCGCCCAAAGGUUCCCUCAACCUGGUUGGUAAUCAGGUGUCGAGUGUAAGUGCACAAGGGAGCUUGACUGUGAGACUGACAAGUCGAGCAGGGACGAAAGUCGGGACUAGUGAUCCGGCAGUGGCUUGUGGAAGCGCUGUCGCUCAACGGAUAAAAGGUACCUCGGGGAUAACAGGCUGAUCUUGCCCAAGAGUCCAUAUCGACGGCAUGGUUUGGCACCUCGAUGUCGGCUCGUCGCAUCCUGGGGCUGGAGUAGGUCCCAAGGGUUGGGCUGUUCGCCCAUUAAAGCGGUACGCGAGCUGGGUUUAGAACGUCGUGAGACAGUUCGGUCCCUAUCCGCUGCGCGCGUAGGAAAUUUGAGAAGAUCUAUCCCUAGUACGAGAGGACCGGGAUGGACGAACCUCUGGUGUGUCAGUUGUUCCGCCAGGAGCACCGCUGAUUAGCUACGUUCGGAACGGAUAACCGCUGAAAGCAUCUAAGCGGGAAGCCGGCUUCGAGAUGAGAUUUCCAUCCCUUUUAGGGUGAAGGCUCCCGGCUAGACUACCGGGUUGAUAGGCAGGAUGUGGAAGCGAGGACUAAAGACUCGUGGAGCUGACCUGUACUAAUAAGCCGAUAUCUUGAAAAC